CGGGACGGGUGAGUAAUGUCUGGGAAACUGCCUGAUGGAGGGGGAUAACUACUGGAAACGGUAGCUAAUACCGCAUAACGUCGCAAGACCAAAGAGGGGGACCUUCGGGCCUCUUGCCAUCGGAUGUGCCCAGAUGGGAUUAGCUAGUAGGUGGGGUAACGGCUCACCUAGGCGACGAUCCCUAGCUGGUCUGAGAGGAUGACCAGCCACACUGGGACUGAGACACGGUCCAG
rnacentral:rRNA from 1 species